AUGGGUACUAGGUGUAGGAGGUAUCGACCCCUUCUGUGCCGGAGUUAACGCAAUAAGUACCCCGCCUGGGGACUACGAUCGCAAGAUUGAAACUCAAAGGAAUUGACGGGGGCCCGCACAAGCGGUGGAGUAUGUGGUUUAAUUCGACGCAACGCGAAGAACCUUACCAAGGCUUGACAUUGAGUGAAAGACCUAGAGAUAGGUCCCCUUCUUCGGAAGCACGAAAACAGGUGGUGCAUGGCUGUCGUCAGCUCGUGUCGUGAGAUGUUGGGUUAAGUCCCGCAACGAGCGCAACCCUUAUCCUAUGUUACCAGCACGCAACGGUGGGGACUCAUAGGAGACUGCCAGGGAUAACCUGGAGGAAGGCGGGGAUGACGUCAAGUCAUCAUGCCCCUUAUGUCUUGGGCUACACACGUACUACAAUGGUCGGCAACAAAGGGCAGCGAAGCCGCGAGGCGGAGCCAAUCCCAGAAACCCGACCCCAGUUCGGAUCGCAGGCUGCAACCCGCCUGC
rnacentral:rRNA from 1 species